rnacentral:rRNA from 1 species
AUGGAUAACAAAGGCAAAUCCAAGGCCAUUGACCGUUACGUGCAAACAGCAUCCCAUUUCCAUCGUGGCAGCGGGAUAGACAAUGGCAAAGAGAUAUGGGAGGACGAUGCUGCCACCAUUGCUCUUGGCGGCCGUCAACGUGACAUGAGCCUUUUCCUCAGCUUCUUAGAUGAACAGCUGGGAUGGUUGCAUUUGGAUUAUGAGUUUCGGGACAACAUUCUACUAGCUUGUUGUGUAUCAACAAGCUUCUAG